ACGAACGCUGGCGGCAGGCCUAACACAUGCAAGUCGAGCGAGGACUUCGGUUCUAGCGGCGGACGGGUGAGUAACGCGUGGGAAUGUGCCCUUCUCUACGGAAUAGCCCUGGGAAACUGGGAGUAAUACCGUAUACGCCCUAUUGGGGAAAGAUUUAUCGGAGAAGGAUCAGCCCGCGUUGGAUUAGGUAGUUGGUGGGGUAAUGGCCUACCAAGCCGACGAUCCAUAGCUGGUUUGAGAGGAUGAUCAGCCACACUGGGACUGAGACACGGCCCAGACUCCUACGGGAGGCAGCAGUGGGGAAUCUGAGACAAUGGGGGCAACCCUGAUCUAGCCAUGCCGCGUGAGUGAUGAAGGCCUUAGGGUUGUAAAGCUCUUUCAGCUGGGAAGAUAAUGACGGUACCAGCAGAAGAAGCCCCGGCUAACUCCGU
rnacentral:rRNA from 1 species